GCAUAUAAGUAAGUGGAGGAUCUGAAACCAAAUGGGAAUUCUUAAGUAAUGGCGAAUGAACAGGAACAAGCCUAGUGUGGAAAUUGAGGUUGAUGACCUUGACUUGUUUUCUUCAGAUGCUAUCCCAGCAAAGGUGCACAUGUAGAUGUUUUGGAAAAGGAUUUCGAGGAAGGUGACAUGCCUGUCUGAGUUGUGUGGUCCUUUGUAUACGGGAUGCGUUUCAUGAGUCACGUUCCUUGAAAUUGGAACGCAAAGUAGGUGGUAAUUUUCACCCAAGGCUACUUAUUAGUGUGAAACCGAUAGCAAACAAGUACCAUGAGGGAAACAUGAAAAGGACUUUGAAAAGAGGGUUAAAAGUGCUUGAAAUUGCUGAACUGGAAGCGAAGGAUGUUUGAAUGCCAUGAUAGAUUGCUUCAACUGCUUGCUGCUCUUGAUGUUGCAUAAGGUGAUAUCAUAGAUGGGGCAAUGUGAUUGUAGUGUUGCUGUCUUGGUGUGUUAGUGCCCUCAUGUGUUGGAGCAUGCAGUCUGGAGCAUGGAAGCUCGCUGGUUGAGUGUGUGAAUGCUUUAGUUGCAGCUUGGACAUGUUAGGUUUGAUGGUUUCUUUUAGGGAUGCAUCUGUUUCCUUCUCGGUGGCAGAUCCGAUUUCUGUUUGUAAGCUGUCAUGACUAGAGAAUAAACAUCUUUCGACCCGUCUG
rnacentral:rRNA from 1 species